rnacentral:rRNA from 1 species
AUUGAACGCUGGCGGCAGGCCUAACACAUGCAAGUCGAGCGAGUGGCGGGCGGGUGAGUAAUGUCUGGGACACUGCCUGAUGGAGGGGGCUAACUACUGGAAACGGUAGCUAAUACCGCAUACCAUCGGAUGUGCCCGGAUGGGAUUAGGUAGUGGGUGGGGUAAAGGCCCACCUGGGCGACGAUCCCGAGCUGGUCGGAGAGGAUGACCAGUCACACUGGAACUGAGACACGGUCCAGACUCCUACGGGAGGCAGCAGUGGGGAAUAUUGCACAAUGGGCGAAAGCCUGAUCCAGCCAUGCCGCGUGUAUGAAGAAGGCCUUCGGGUUGUAAAGUACUUUCAGUGGGGAGGCGUUACCAGCAGAAGAAGCACCGGCUAACUCCGUGCCAGCAGCCGCGGUAAUUC